AAGGUGGUAGUUUAGUAGUAAAACGUUGGGUUGUGGUACCAAAAAAGAUUUUUCCCAUCUUA
rnacentral:tRNA from 1 species